rnacentral:rRNA from 1 species
GACGAACGCUAGCGGCAGGCCUAAUACAUGCAAGUCGAGGGGUAGAGCUAGCUUGCUAGCUUGAGACCGGCGCACGGGUGCGUAACGCGUAUGCAACCUACCCUUUUCUGGGGGAUAGCCCGGAGAAAUCCGGAUUAAUACCGCAUAAGACCACGAUACGGCAUCGUGAUGUGGUCAAACAUUUAUGGGAGAAGGAUGGGCAUGCGUGCCAUUAGCCAGUUGGCGGGGUAACGGCCCACCAAGGCGACGAUGGCUAGGGGAUCUGAGAGGAUGGCCCCCCACACUGGUACUGAGACACGGACCAGACUCCUACGGGAGGCAGCAGUAAGGAAUAUUGGUCAAUGGGGGCAACCCUGAACCAGCCAUGCCGCGUGCAGGACGACGGCCCUCCGGGUUGUAAACUGCUUUUGUACGGGAAUAAACCCCGCUACGUGUAGCGGGCUGAAUGUACCGUAAGAAUAAGGAUCGGCUAACUCCGUGCCAGCAGCCGCGGUAA